rnacentral:rRNA from 1 species
UACAGAGGUCCCGAGCGUUGUUCGGAUUCAUUGGGCGUAAAGGGUGCGUAGGCGGUUUGCUAAGUUUGAUGUGAAAUCCCGGGGCUUAACCCUGGAAUUGCAUUGAAUACUGGCGGACUAGAGUCCUGGAGAGGAAACUGGAAUUUACGGUGUAGCAGUGAAAUGCGUAGAGAUCGUAAGGAAGACCAGUGGCGAAGGCGGCUCUCUGGGACGGUACUGACGCUGAGACGCGAAAGCGUGGGGAGCGAACAGG